UAGUGAUCCGGUGGUUCUGAAUGGAAGGGCCAUCGCUCAACGGAUAAAAGGUACUCCGGGGAUAACAGGCUGAUACCGCCCAAGAGUUCAUAUCGACGGCGGUGUUUGGCACCUCGAUGUCGGCUCAUCACAUCCUGGGGCUGAAGUAGGUCCCAAGGGUAUGGCUGUUCGCCAUUUAAAGUGGUACGCGAGCUGGGUUUAGAACGUCGUGAGACAGUUCGGUCCCUAUCUGCCGUGGGCGCUGGAGAACUGAGGGGGGCUGCUCCUAGUACGAGAGGACCGGAGUGGACGCAUCACUGGUGUUCGGGUUGUCAUGCCAAUGGCACUGCCCGGUAGCUAAAUGCGGAAGAGAUAAGUGCUGAAAGCAUCUAAGCACGAAACUUGCCCCGAGAUGAGUUCUCCCUGAGACUUUAGGUCUCCUGAAGGAACGUUGAAGACGACGACGUUGAUAGGCCGGGUGUGUAAGCGCAGCGAUGCGUUGAGCUAACCGGUACUAAUGAACCGUGAGGCUUAACCUUACA
rnacentral:rRNA from 1 species